rnacentral:rRNA from 1 species
AUGAGAUCUGGCGUGGGCGCCGCAGAUCACCCUCUGGUGCAUGGCCUCGACCAGGUACGAAUCCCUCCUCCACUUCUUCUGGUUUGUCUGGCGACGGGGAUGCAAGGAGAAGCUGCUGCGGUUUCAAGGGGCCGUGAGGAUGCCCACCAUGAAGGCGUGUCUGGGAUGAUGGAGCUACAAAAUUGCAAUCUCUUGAAAAUGUUCUUGAAUACAGUAAUUUUUUUGUCACAUAAUCCAUAUGCUGAUGAUAAAGUUUGUUGUAUGAGCUUGUGGCAUACUGAUCCGACAGGUGGCAGAAAACCACUAGGUAUUACAAGGGCAUCUUUCACACGUUGUCUACAAUUUGUAGAGAAGAGAGUGGUAGAGGAUUGUAUAAAGGCCUUUGGUCCACCUUAUUGGGAGUUGGACCUGAUAUAUCAAUCAACGUUUAUGUAUAUGAAUCCCUGA